rnacentral:rRNA from 1 species
AAGAACCCCGGGAGGGGAGUGAAAUAGAACAUGAAACCUUAAGCUUACAAGCAGUAGGAGGACGACUUAUCGUUUGACUGCGUGCCUGUUGAAGAAUGAGCCGGCGACUUAUAGUUAGUGGCAGGUUAAGGUAGAGAAUACUGGAGCCACAGUGAAAGCGAGCUUUAAUAGAGCGUGUGUCACUAGUUAUAGACCCGAACCCGGAUGAUCUAACCAUGGCCAGGAUGAAGCCUAGGUAAUACUAUGUGGAGGUCCGAACCGACUGAUGUUGAAAAAUCAGCGGAUGAGUUGUGGUUAGGGGUGAAAUACCAAUCGAAUUCGGAGCUAGCUGGUUCUCCCCGAAAUGUGUUUAGGCGCAGCGGUUAAUAUUAUAGCUUAGAGGUAAAGCACUGUUUCGGUGCGGGCUGGUAAUUCGGUACCAAAUCGAGGCAAACUCUGAAUACUAAGUGAACAGUUAACCAGUAAGACUGUGGGGGAUAAGCUUCAUAGUCAAGAGGGAAACAGCCCAGAUCACCAGUUAAGGCCCCUAAAUAAUUAUUAAGUGGUAAAGGAGGUGGGAAGACUCAGACAGCCAGGAGGUUUGCUUAGAAGCAGCAAUCCUUUAAAGAGUGCGUAAUAGCUC